UACGGGGGGGGCAAGCGUUGUUCGGAAUUACUGGGCGUAAAGGGCUCGUAGGCGGCCAACUAAGUCAGACGUGAAAUCCCUCGGCUUAACCGGGGAACUGCGUCUGAUACUGGAUGGCUUGAGGUUGGGAGAGGGAUGCGGAAUUCCAGGUGUAGCGGUGAAAUGCGUAGAUAUCUGGAGGAACACCAAUGGCGAAGGCAGCUCGCUGGGACGGUACUGACGCUGAGACGCGAAAGCGUGGGGAGCAAACAGG
rnacentral:rRNA from 1 species